UACGUAGGGUGCGAGCGUUAAUCGGAAUUACUGGGCGUAAAGCGUGCACAGGCGGUUCGUGAUGUCUGGUGUGAAAGCCCCGGGCUUAACCUGGGAAUUGCAUUGGAAACUAGCGGGCUGGAGUGUGGCAGAGGGGGGUGGAAUUCCACGUGUAGCAGUGAAAUGCGUAGAGAUGUGGAGGAACACCGAUGGCGAAGGCAGCCCCCUGGGCUAACACUGACGCUCAUGCACGAAAGCGUGGGGAGCAAACAGG
rnacentral:rRNA from 1 species